GGCUCAGAACGAACGCUUGCGGCGUGCUUAACACAUGCAAGUCGAACGAGAAAGGGACUUCGGUCCUGAGUAAAGUGGCGCACGGGUGAGUAACGCGUAGGUAAUCUACCCCUGUGUUCGGGACAACAUCGGGAAACUGGUGCUAAUACCGGAUACGUUUCACGGAUUGCGAAAUAAGUGAAGGAAAGAUGGCGACCCUUCGGGGGCUAUUGCACGGGGAUGAGCCUGCGUACCAUUAGCUAGUUGGCAGGGUAAGGGCCUACCAAGGCGACGAUGGUUAGCGGGUCUGAGAGGAUGAUCCGCCACACUGGCACUGGAACACGGGCCAGACUCCUACGGGAGGCAGCAGUGAGGAAUUUUGCACAAUGGGGGAAACCCUGAUGCAGCGACGCCGCGUGAGUGACGAAGGUCUUCGGAUCGUAAAGCUCUGUCAGCAGGGAAGAAAUGUAUCAUGGCUAAUAUCCAUGGUACUUGACGGUACCUGCAAAGGAAGCACCGGCUAACUCCGUGCCAGCAGCCGCGGUAAUACGGAGGGUGCGAGCGUUGUUCGGAUUUACUGGGCGUAAAGGGCGCGUAGGCGGUUUUAUAAGCCAGAUGUGAAAGCCCACGGCUCAACCGUGGAAGUGCAUCUGGAACUGUAAGACUUGAGUACUGGAGGGGAGUGUGGAAUUCCCGGUGUAGAGGUGAAAUUCGUAGAUAUCGGGAGGAAUACCGGUGGCGAAGGCGACACUCUGGACAGAUACUGACGCUGAGGCGCGAAAGCGUGGGGAGCAAACAGGAUUAGAUACCCUGGUAGUCCACAGCUGUAAACGAUGUGCACUAGGUGUGGGGGGUCGUUGACCCUUUCCGUGCCGUAGCUAACGCGAUAAGUGCACCGCCUGGGGAGUACGGUCGCAAGAUAAAACUC
rnacentral:rRNA from 1 species